rnacentral:lncRNA from 1 species
AUUUUCCUCCUUUCCAGGGUAAUGAUAAAUAUUUGGAUCAAAUAAGGCGUUGCACCGUCCUGCUGUCGCUUGCGACACGGUUGUGUGCGACACAGGCAGAGUUGUGUACUUCCAUACGAGCACAUAUCCCAGCCCACGAAAACGCGCCGGGGAGCUCCUUUCCUCCCGUGUUUGUCUUGCACUGUCAAAACGAGUUUCUUGUGUUCACGCCAACGGGGGCUAGUCGCCUUUUACUGAAUUGCAGUUCCAUCAGAACAGCGAACGGAUCACUCGCGACGAAGAGCUCCGAGGGUAGUUCGAGACAUCAAGCCCCUAACCUCCCCCGGGAUCCUUCGGUCACCGUCACAAAGGACACCUCGGCACAGUAUUAGCUUUUCGUCGCUACAGCAAGCUGGUAAACAUCCUUUUAGUUCGACAGACGCUGUUAACGCCACGAUAGCGUCGUCGGACUUCGAUACUUGUCGACUUCUAACUUAUGCACUCUCAUGAGCUAGGGGCUUCCUCGCUACUCUUCAGCGCUCGACGGGCCCCUGCCUACGGACCAACGGCUGUACCAGUGGUUAACAGGCCCGCGGACUUUCGAGAACUGACAACUGGCGUUCUGAAGGAAUGUUUUUGCUGGCAUGCUUUCCUGGAGGCAUGUAUUGACUGGCAUACUUACGUGUCAGCUUUCUCUGAAAACGCUGUAAACAUGGGCCAAGAAUGCGCAAACGGUGGUGACCUAGUAUCUGUUUAAUCUUCAUCCUCAUGCUGACCCAAAUUGUCUCUCGUCUACUGUUUCUAUUGAGGGCCUCGCCACUCUGACUUCGUGUAUAUUCAUGCGUGUAUAUUUGAUGAUUCGGCAACUGCCAAACUUGCCACAAAAUUGCGAGUGCUGGCCGCAGCCACGAUAAAUGCCCGAUGACACGGAAAGCAACAAUAUGGCGUGCGUCAGUGUCAACAUGCCGACUUCAUGCACAAAUUGCCUGUACGAGCUAAAGUCGUUCUAAGGGCCCCUAUCC